rnacentral:rRNA from 1 species
GAUGAACGCUGGCGGCGUGCCUAAUACAUGCAAGUCGAGCGAACAGACGAGGAGCUUGCUCCUCUGACGUUAGCGGCGGACGGGUGAGUAACACGUGGAUAACCUACCUAUAAGACUGGGAUAACUUUGGGAAACCGGCGCUAAUACCGGAUAAUAUAUUGAACCGCAUGGUUCAAUAGUGAAAGACGGCUUUGCUGUCACUUAUAGAUGGAUCCGCGCCGCAUUAGCUAGUUGGUAAGGUAACGGCUUACCAAGGCGAGCAUGCGUAACCGACCUGAGGGGGUGAUCGGCCACACUGGAACUGAGACACGGUCCAGGCUCCUACGGGAGGCAGCAGUAGGGAAUCUUCCGCAAUGGGCGAAAGCCUGACGGAGCAACGCCGCGUGAGUGAUGAAGGUCUUCGGAUCGUAAAACUCUGUUAUUAGGUAAGAACAAAUGUGUAAGUAACUAUGCACGUCUUGACGGUACCUAAUCAGAAAGCCACGGCUAACUACGUG